rnacentral:rRNA from 1 species
GUGUCAGCAGCCGCGGUAAUACGUAGGGGGCGAGCGUUGUCCGGAAUUACUGGGCGUAAAGGGCGCGUAGGCGGUUUUACAAGUCGUCUGUGAAAUUCCAGGGCUUAACCCUGGGGGUGCAGACGAAACUGUAAGACUUGAGUGCGGUAGAGGUAAGUGGAAUUCCUAGUGUAGCGGUGAAAUGCGUAGAUAUUAGGAGGAACACCAGUGGCGAAGGCGACUUACUGGGCCGUAACUGACGCUGAGGCGCGAAAGCGUGGGGAGCAAACAGGAUUAGAUACCCUGGUAGUCCACGCUGUAAACGAUGAAUACUAGGUGUAGGGGGUAUCGACCCCUCCUGUGCCGGAGCUAACGCAAUAAGUAUUCCGCCUGGGGAGUACGGCCGCAAGGUUGAA